CAUCCGGUGUACCAAUUUAGAAAUCGUCUGCGCAUCUAUUUGUGACGUGGGUUGGCAUCAACGACCUUGUGAGCUUCGCUAGGGAAGGCUAGGGACUUUUAGCUUGAGCUGUCAUAGCUCUGUCAAAUACGUCAAUUAGCUGCCGGCCAAGUGUGCCGGCUUACGAAAGAUAAUGAAAUUAAUAGUGAUAAAAAUGUAAUUAUUGAAAGUUGAACGGUCCAAAAAUGUGGAACACACCCUGCGGUAACUGCUUAAUUUUUGCGAUUCGCUGUUAUUUACGGGGAAUACAAAUUAGUCAACAGUAAGGCACUUUUUGAAUGUCUGCCCCGUGGAAAUUUACAAAAGUUGCUUCCAUCACUUCCGCAACUUGCAGAAAUUCUUUGGUAGGAUGAAGCAAAUUUCCUUUUGAAAUAAAGUUAAUCCAAUCUAGGUUAGAAGUUGAGGUGGAAGGAGCGUCAUUGUCUGGGCUAGAAUUACCGAGAUGUGGAUAUUUCGUCCUGAACCGAUGUGCUACAUAUCCAGUUAAAUACCGUAGUCCUUCAUGAUUGAUGAUUAUUUCUGGUGUAAUUAUGCUGGAAUCACCACCUUCACACAGGGAUGGAUCAUCAACAAAAUGAAUUUCAAUCCACUCACAAUUGAGCUCUGUAUCAAUAUCAAAACUUGAAGAUGUAUCUACAAUUGAAGCAAACAAUGGAGCAGUAAGACAAACUUCCUGUUGUUCUUCAUGGUCUUGUAAGGGGAAGCAACAGAGGCAAUGGAACUGAAGUCAUUACACAUUUACCAUUGUUACUUGAACCACUUUUAUCUGGAGUUUUUUUACUUAAACUGUUAUGGCUCAAUACAUUUGUAAAAGCCAAUGGCGAGUGUCCCGUUUUAUGUGGAGCCAAAGGACCCAGUAAUGUAGGUAUUGCUGUAUUUAAUAUUUUUCUUCUGUUUUUUGGGCUAUAGUUUAAUACUCUUUGUAGUCCUAGUUUCGUUUCACAUUUCUUUGUAAAAUGUAUUGAACACAUUCGAGCUAGUGAAAAAGUAAUAAAAUGAAAAACAAUGUUUAUUAAUUA